rnacentral:misc_RNA from 1 species
GGAAGGAUCAUUAACGAGUCGUCAAACACGGGUUGUCGCUGGCCCCCAAACGGGGCACGUGCACGCUCUGUUUACACAUCCACUCACACCUGUGCACCCUCUGUAGUUCUGUGGAUCGGGAGACACCGUCUUCCUUCCGUGGCUCUACGUCUUUACACACACAACGUAGCGACGUCUUAUGGAAUGUUUUUCGCGUUCGACGCAAUACAAUACAACUUUCAGCAACGGAUCUCUUGGCUCUCGCAUCGAUGAAGAACGCAGC